GUGAUUAUGGGGUAAGGCGGGUUAUUACCCAGAAUCCCUGGCUGCAGGGGGAGCUCUGUAUACUGUGUGAUUAUGGGAUAAGGCGGGUUAUUACCCAGAAUCCCUGGCUGCAGGGGGAGCUCUGCAUACUGUGUGAUUAUGGGGUAAGGCGGGUUAUUACCCAGAAUCCCUGGCUGCAGGGGGAGCUCUGUAUACUGUGUGAUUAUGGG
rnacentral:lncRNA from 1 species